rnacentral:snRNA from 1 species
AUUCUUACCUGGUGCCGGGGCCUCGUUAUCACCGAGGACGAGCCCCCGUGGCGAGGCGCGGGCAUUGCACUGCGUUCGCAUUGACCCCUGCAACUACCACAAACUGGAGAAGAAGGGGCAUGAAAAUUUUUCAAAUACCCGCCGUGGUGGCCCAGUGGCUA